AUUGAACGCUGGCGGCAGGCCUAACACAUGCAAGUCGAGCGAGCGGCGGACGGGUGAGUAAUGUCUGGGAAACUGCCUGAUGGAGGGGGAUAACUACUGGAAACGGUAGCUAAUACCGCAUACCAUCAGAUGUGCCCAGAUGGGAUUAGCUUGUUGGUGGGGUAACGGCUCACCAAGGCGACGAUCCCUAGCUGGUCUGAGAGGAUGACCAGCCACCCCGUAACUGAGACACGGUCCAGCCUCCUACGGGAGGCAGCAGUGGGGAAUAUUGCACAAUGGGCGCCAGCCUGAUGCAGCCAUGCCGCGUGUGUGAAGAAGGCCUUCGGGUUGUAAAGCACUGUCAGCGGGGAGGCGUUACUCGCAGAAGAAGCACCGGCUAACUCCGUGCCAGCAGCCGCGGUAAUUC
rnacentral:rRNA from 1 species